rnacentral:misc_RNA from 1 species
GAUGUGUUUUUUAAUUAUGCGAAUUUUAUUUGUUACGUCAUGGUAAUGUUAAAUUACGUUGCGUAUUUGUUUUCAUUCGUUAUUUCCACGUGCUUUAUGUUUUAUAAACUUUAAAUGGAUGAAAAUAAAGAUAAUACUAACAGAAAAAGCCAUACAUUUAUUUAUAAUGAUGAAAAUGAGGCCUUUUGUUUCAUAAAACAACAUGAAUUAGAGUACACAGUUCGCUAUGCAACAUGGUUCACACCCAAAGGGUUUGGUAAUACAGGCACAUGGUAGAAUGUUCAGGAUGUUUGCAGUGGUUUCACAGAAUGUGCGAAAGAAUUUCAGAUAAUGUUCUUAAUGAUGACAAUAUCAACUGGCAUUGUUCAACUUGUGAUAAAAUAAAAUAAUGAUACUUCAGU